AGUUCUUUCCUCGGCAGCUCGCAGGAAACUCCUGUGGCAUCUUCAUGCUGAUGUAUGCUCUCUGUAUCUCCACAUCGACUCCACUGAUGUUCUCUGAGGAGGAAAUGCCAGCUGUACGAAAAUGGUGGUGCAUUCAGUU